rnacentral:rRNA from 1 species
UACGGGGGGGGCAAGCGUUGUUCGGAAUUACUGGGCGUAAAGGGCUCGUAGGCGGCCAACUAAGUCGGACGUGAAAUCCCCAGGCUCAACCUGGGAACUGCGUCCGAUACUGGAUGGCUUGAAUCCGGGAGAGGGAUGCAGAAUUCCAGGUGUAGCGGUGAAAUGCGUAGAUAUCUGGAGGAAUACCGGUGGCGAAGGCGGGUCUCUGGGCAGUAACUGACGCUGAGGAGCGAAAGCGUGGGGAGCGAACAGG